AUAUGUUAGAAAUACAAUAUCUUCAUAUACAUACUAUACAUACUAUAUUAUAAUAACAUAUCUCUUUCUCACACACACAAAACCAUUCAUACUCUCAAACAUAUAUACAAACACAUUGCUCCUCCAGCUUUUGCCUUUGCCUCCUUCCUUCCUUCACAGCCUGUCAAAACCUAAAUUAUUAACUCAACAACAACAUCAUUAUUCCAUUUUUCUAAUUCUUCUUGUUUCAAACCAAAAACCUUAUUUCAACUGCCAAGUGUCUUCAUGCUGUCUAUAUGACUUUUCUCCAAACUCUCCAGAUGUUCAUGCACUGCUUGGAUUCAUCCGUCCUUUAAUCUAUUCUUUUCUCCAACCAUGA